rnacentral:rRNA from 1 species
AUAACGGUCCUAAGGUAGCGAAAUUCCUUGUCAGGUAAGUUCUGACCCGCACGAAUGGCGUAAUGAUUUGGGCACUGUCUCAACAGCCCGCCCGGCGAAAUUGUAGUACUGGUGAAGAUGCCAGUUACCCGCAACUAGACGGAAAGACCCCAUGGAGCUUUACUGCAGCUUAAUACUGAAAUUCGGUAGUACAUGUACAGGAUAGGUGGGAGACUGAGAAAUACAGGCGUCAGCUUGUAUGGAGUCGCUGUUGGGAUACCACUCUUGUACUGCUGGGUUUCUAACCUGCGGCCGUGAAUCCGGUCGGGGGACACUGUUAGGCGGGCAGUUUGACUGGGGCGGUCGCCUCCAAAAGAGUAACGGAGGCGCUCAAAGGUUGGCUCAGCACGGACGGAAAUCGUGCAAUGAGUGUAAACGCAUAAGCCAGCCUAACUGCGAGACCGACGGGUCGAGCAGUAACGAAAGUUGGAGUUAGUGAUCCGGUGGUAUGUGAGUGGAAAUGCCAUCGCUCAACGGAUAAAAGCUACCCUGGGGAUAACAGGCUGAUCUCCCCCAAGAGUCCACAUCGACGGGGAGGUUUGGCACCUCGAUGUCGGCUCAUCGCAUCCUGGGGCUGAAUUCGGUCCCAAGGGUUUGGCUGUUCGCCAAUUAAAGCGGUACGCGAGCUGGGUUCAGAACGUCGUGAGACAGUUCGGUCCCUAUCUGUCGUGGGCGCAGGAUAUUUGAUGGGAGCUGUUCCUAGUACGAGAGGACCGGAGCGGACGUACCUCUGGCGCACCAGUUGUUCUGCCAAGAGCAUAGCUGGGCAACUAUGUACGGAUCGGAUAAACGCUGAAAGCAUCUAAGCGUGAAGCCGACCCAAAGAUAAGAUAUCCCAUUGUUUCAAACAAGUAAGACCCCUUGAAGACUACAAGGUUGAUAGGCACGAUGUGUAAGUGGAGUGAUCCAUUCAGCAAGCGUGUACUAAUAGGUCGAGGGCUUGACCAC